GUGUCGGGCCAGACUCAGCCCCAGAAACCAGCCACCCUGCCGCGUCCGACUGCCAGGGAUCCCUCACGCCGCGAGGAAGAGACACUAGAGAGACACUCAGCUGCAGUGAGAAUACACAGGCAUCUUCAAGUACCAGAGAUGUCUCCAAGAGCACCAGCAACCCCAGCUAUCUGGAUCUGAAGUGGAUAUGCUCAGAGACAUCCUGGCCCACCCCAAAGAAGAUGCUGCUGCACUCAGAAGACGCCAGAGCUAGCCACCACCCACACUGCAAGUCUGGAAGCUCUGCAAGGACCCAGCAAGGCAGCCUGCUCAGCGAAGGCUUUGUCUCCUGUGGCAGGAAGAGCAACAUUAAGAACAAGAACCCCGGGCUGGACUACCCCUGAGAUUUAAUGACCAGAGCUGAGACCCCCAAGACCACAAUGACUAUGGAGGGCUGUCAUUACCCUGCCUGACCCUCUAAUGCCUCUCAGUUCAAGGAGGCCACUGAGUGAAACUGAAGGCUGGUUUUCCUUGGAAGCCAGCGGCCCAUCCACCUGCUCCACUUCCCUGCCUCUUGCAGCCUCCGCUCAAACACUGUCGUGGCUUGGCAGCACUACAAGUAUUUCAGGGGCUGCCAAGCUGCUCUCCUGUUUCCUCUUCCUUGGGGCUGAUUGCAUCCCAUGAUGUGCCCAGGUUUUGAGAUGCUCCUCGUGAAUGAAAAUAGGACUGUCUGGUUCCUCCAUCCAUAGCAAGGGAGCCUAGACAGAAAUAACUUCUGUGCAUUUCUCCAGCUACAUUUAGCUGAAAAUAUGUCUACGUGAGGUUAACUGUAUUUACCCAAUGCCAGAUACCUGAAAGAGUGUGAAAAAUUAAGGGAAAACUAGAAAAUACAGAAAUAUAUCAAGAAGAAAAAAAAUUUAAAAAUGACCCAAAAUCCCACCAACCAGAGACAGCUAUUAAUGAUUGUGGUAUAUUUAUUGUAAGUCUCUUUAUUUCUGUCUUCAUGCAAACACAUUUUUAAAGAAUGGACACUGGUAUUAUAUUGUUUAUACAACUCUAAAUGCUGCUUUUUCACUUAUUACAAUUAGGACUUUUUUCAUGUUAAUAAAU
rnacentral:lncRNA from 1 species